rnacentral:misc_RNA from 1 species
CUUCUCUGCAUUUCAUUGUCUGUAUAUGGAAUUUGAAAACAAUCUAACUGAACCAAGCAAUUGAGAUUUUUUUUUUAAAUUGUUAUUUGAUUUUAUUGUGUUAUCCAGUAAUCAGGUGAGAUAGUAAGCUGUUUUUUAAUUUGAAAUUUGAUUCAACAUAAUGUAAGAUAGUCUAUUAGUAUGGUGGUCUUACCCUAAUUGUGGUGCUAUAGGGAAUGACCAAUAGGCUUUGCUAGUUUAUGACCUUUUGUCUAUCAGGUGAGAAGGGAAGAAGGAUCAGG